rnacentral:rRNA from 1 species
CCUACGGGAGGCAGCAGUGGGGAAUAUUGCGCAAUGGGCGAAAGCCUGACGCAGCGACGCCGCGUGAGGGAUGAAGGUCUUCGGAUCGUAAACCUCUGUCAGCAGGGAAGAACGGUCACUGUGCUAAUCAGCAGUGCAUUGACGGUACCUGCACGGGAAGCACCGGCUAACUCCGUGCCAGCAGCCGCGGUAAUACGGAGGGUGCGAGCGUUAAUCGGAAUUACUGGGCGUAAAGCGCUCGUAGGCGGUAUGUCAAGUCAAGGGUGAAAUCCCCGCGCUCAACGUGGGAACUGCCUUUGAAACGGGCAAACUGGAGUGUGUGAGAGGAUAGUGGAAUUCCAGGUGUAGGAGUGAAAUCCGUAGAUAUCUGGAGGAACAUCAGUGGCGAAGGCGACUAUCUGGCACAUAACUGACGCUGAGGAGCGAAAGCGUGGGUAGCAAACAGGAUUAGAUACCCUAGUAGUC